AAAAGAAAUUUAGUGGCGGUCAAAUAGCAACAGUUUGCACCCAAACUGCCGCCGCCUACCCACUACAAAAAAAAAAAGAGGAUUAACGACACAAUGAUAAGGCAGUUUAGAACCGCUGCUGCAUGUUCCUAAGUAAAAUUUUCAUUCUCUCACUUAUAUAUUUUUGUGAUUCCCACAAGAAAGAAAGAACACGAGAAAGCGCUGAAAUCCUUCUUCUCCAAACUGUUGCCGUCUCAAAUCACGAUGUCUUCUCCAAAACCCUUUCAUCUCCAAAUCGUCUUCUGCAAACCAUCGUGAGAGUUCCAACUCGUCAUAUCUCCUGUUCAUCUCCGUCGUGACCGAGUUAGAGACACCGAUUGAUACAAAUCACUUCGAUUUCUACACAUAGUUGCUUCCAAUUUCUUCGAUUUCGCAGCUCAAACCUUCAAUCUCUUUGAUUCGCAGCCCAAUCCUCCAAUCCCUUUGAUUGCCCUAAUCAGAUUACUAUUUGAACUUGCAUUGGAUCUUUAGACCGUUUGAGUACGAACCUUCAUCCUAUGGCUUGAUGUUUUCAGGGUACUUUUUAUUUGUCAUAGUAUCUGUUAAGAACCUGAUAAGAGAGCAUUCAUUAAGAAGGUAAAGAAUAGAAAGGAAAGUAAGGAGGGAAAUAGAGCCAUUGUAACUUAAAUAUAUAUCUAAUUAAUCCCGUCUAACUGACUAACUAAUUCCUCUAAUUGUUCCUAACUGACAUCCACUCUUACUAAACAUUCCUUUCCCUUCUAAACCGUAUCAUAAUCUGGAUGAUUCAUGGCUCAACAGUUCAAUCAUUGUUAAUUUGUUACCCUUAUUAUUCUGAUAAAUAUUGAAUUUAAAGUUUUCAAAACACAAGUAGCUUGCACCUGAGCUUUAUUUAUGCUUCCACAUAAAGUUUGUUGGUGUACCUUAAAUUGAAAGUGCAGGCAUUAGUGAAUAAAUAUUCACAAUUUUGGUAAGCUCAAAUAGAACUAUACCUGCAUUUGUCUAAGAAAGUAUACAAGAUUUUUCGCACGCGAGGAAGGCUGGCCGAUUAUGCAAUUCUUAUUGAACAAAGUGGGUCAAGACUAUUCGACAAGGUUAUCUCUCGAAGCGUUCCUCAAACUUAUGGGGGACUGGAAAAGGAGGUUUUUUCGUUCUUGAUAGCCGGGGAAUGCUGUAUUACUAUCGUAAAUAAUGCAUCAAAUUAUCUGGGUCUAGUAGCCAACAUUUUGGUCAGAGGAAUAGUUUGGAGCUUGGUUCUGGACUUCUAAGUCGACAACGAACUACACUUUACAAAUAGUGCACUAGACCAAAUGGACUGGAUUGAAAAAAUCACAGUUUGUUGAAUGAAGGAUUGUUUCUAAGUGGAUAAGAGGCUUGGAGUUCACCAAUCUAAUGUAGAACUUCUUCCGUGACAUGGUUCAGGGGAAGGCACAUGGUGCUAUAAUGUAGUGAAAGUUUCCUAUCCGUAUUGUUUAUCAUGGUGGUUUAUAUGACGACGAUGUGCACGUACGCGCGGUUGCAAGCAUUAAAGUUUGCUUUGGAAUUGGGGGAUGUUUUUUUAUAGAAUUGGAUCUCAAGGUAUACCAUGAGUAAUUCAAGUGUGAAAUCAGAUGAUCUAUAUAGUUGAUUUUCUAUAUUGCUUUGUUGUCUAAGAGCUUGUUAGUAUCUUGUUUGUUUUGCUACACUUUUUAAUGUAAUAGUUUUAUGUUUAGUGUGUUAACUCAAAGCAAUUUUGAUGUAAACUUGUAAGUAUCAUUUUCUACAUGAAUUGUGAGAAUCAAUUACUUGAUAUGUUUAGUAAAAUAAUGUAUGGGGAUGUUGUGUGUUUUAGAUUUUGUUAUAUUAAUAUUAAUGG